CAAAAACUGGCAACUACUACUUUGGUUUCAAUGCGUGGUCAGAAAGUGUCAUUAAGCCCUGACAGAGACCAAAUCUACGGAGACAAAGUGAAAGCCGGGGACUCCAGAGGGCUUCAGGGGAAACACGGCAGUGGCACAUACCUGUGGGCGCUGUGAGCUGGAGGGAGGGCUCGGGAUGCUGCUCCCACGUGAGUCCUUCAUCAGGCAACAGCAGGGUCUCAGUACACAGGUCAGGCUGGCCUUGAGCUCAUUUUG